rnacentral:rRNA from 1 species
GGAAGGAUCAUUCACAAACGAGUGUUUUAUGGCACUCUUUAAAAAUCCAUAUCCACCUUGUGUGCAAUGUUUGUUGGGAAAGUCUUUUCUUUCCCUUCAUAAAUAUCAACCUAUAUCUUUAACAACAUUCGUCUGAUAACAUAUUAUGAAUAUACUUAAUUCAAAAUAUAACUUUCAACAACGGAUCUCUUGGCUCUCGCAUCGAUGAAGAACGCAGCGAAAUGCGAUACGUAAUGUGAAUUGCAGAAUUCAGUGAAUCAUCGAAUCUUUGAACGCAUAUUGCGCUCUUUGGUAUUCCGAAGAGCAUGCUUGUUUGAGUAUCAGUAAACACCUCAACCUCUCUUUUUUGAUAAAAAAAUGAGAGGGUGGACUUGAGCUAUCCCAACGACCUUCACCGGUAGGCGGGCGGCUUGAAAUGCAGGUGCAGCUGGACUUUUAUCUGAGCUAAAAGCAUAUCUAUUUAGUCCUCGUCAAACAGGAUUAUUACUUUUGCUGCAGCUAACAUAAAGGAUAAUUGUCCUCUUUGCUGACUGAUGCAGGAUUUUACGACACUUUAUGUGUUGUUCAACUCGAUCUCAAAUCAAGUAAGACUACCCGCUGAACUUAAGCAUAUCAAUAAGCGGAGGAAAAGAAACUAACAAGGAUUCCCCUAGUAACGGCGAGUGAAGCGGGAUGAGCUCAAAUUU